UCUUGAGAUCGUUGGAGUGGUAAGAAUGAGAGGAAGACCAUAGUUUUAUAAAUUAUGUGAUCUAAAAUUAAUUACAAAAAAUUAAGUAAUACUAUGCAUCUGUAAACAAAUAGAAGCGCCCCAUUUUUUAAAACUUCAUCGAAUAAUACCUUGCAUCUCUUUUGAAGACGACCUCUCACUCUCGCCCUUUCCGAUUCAAAAAUUAGCAGUUUCUUGGGCAUUUAGUCGGCAUCCAAAUGGACGUGACCAAGCCAGCGAAGUCUCAUCGAUGCCGAGAUAUCCGGUUCUCCGUAAAGGCACUUCAACUCCUAGAUUCGUCCUCAAACGGAACUCAUCAGUUAGUGCAUCAUUCACGGAGCCGUAAUGCCAAAAAACGAGGGAAAUCAUCUAAAUGGAUGGAAUCUUUAUCAAUAAAAAAACGAGGAAAAAAUUAAAUUCUAUUGAAAUCAAAUGACCAGCACGCCAAAAGUCAAGCGAGUUCAAGAAACGUAAAGUUUAUUAGCUGUGAUUGUUUAUGCUGGAUGUAUUUAAGGAGGAGGUGACAUAGUUCGAGUUAUCCCAGAAGACAGAAGUCUCCACAGUAACAGUCUUAAGCAAGGAGAAGAUCUUUUGUGAGUAUUGUAUGUAUUUUAGUGGCAUUUUUUUUGUAAAUUAACUUAAGAAACGAGAAAUAUAUUGGUGGUAUUUUCAGAUAAAAAUUAAAAUCAAAAUAAAGAAUACCCAAGAUUACGUACUUAUAAUGUUUCAAGAAAAUUUCCUAAAUUUAAGGCCCAUUUUUCUGAUUUUAGGAGUUGAAUAUAUUCCAAGAUUAUCUAUUCUGAGGUAGAGCCAUAAUUAAAUUACAAUCUGAAAUGUAUUGAUUUCACGUAAAAUAACGUAAGUUUUUGAUUUCUAUCUUAAUUUUGAAACGUUCUGUAUCGCAGAAUACCACCAACUAUCACGAUAAUCUAUUGUGAUUAACAUAAUAUUUAUUAGCAUUUGCGUCUGUUGUAAUAUCAUAG